GAUGAACGCUAGCGGCAGGCCUAAUACAUGCAAGUCGAACGGUAAAUAUUGUAGCAAUACAAUAUGAGAGUGACGUACGGGUGCGUAACACGUAUGCAACCUACCCAAAACUGGAGUAUAGCUCGGGGAAACUCGAAUUAACCCUUCAUAGUACUAUUGGAUGGCAUCAUUUGAUAGUUAAAACUCAGGUGGUUUUGGAUGGGCAUGCGUCUGAUUAGCUAGUUGGCGGGGUAAUGGCCCACCAAGGCGAUGAUCAGUAGGGGAACUGAGAGGUUGAUCCCCCACACUGGCACUGAGAUACGGGCCAGACUCCUACGGGAGGCAGCAGUAGGGAAUAUUGGUCAAUGGAUGCAAGUCUGAACCAGCCAUGCCGCGUGCAGGAAGAAGGCCUUCUGGGUUGUAAACUGCUUUUGCCAGAGGAUAAAGUGGGCGUGCGCGCUUAAUUGAAGGUACCUGGUGAAUAAGCCACGGCUAACUACGUGCCAGCCGCCGCGGUAA
rnacentral:rRNA from 1 species